GACGAACUGUCCAAACGUUGUUCGGAAUCACUGGGCUUAAAGGGCGCGUAGGCGGUCAAACAAGUCAGGGGUGAAAUCCUGCAGCUCAACUGUAGAAGUGCCUCUGAUACUGUUUGCCUAGAGGGAGAUAGGGGUGUGCGGAACUUCCAGUGGAGCGGUGAAAUGCGUUGAUAUUGGAAGGAACGCCGGAGGCGAAAGCGGCGCACUGGAUCUCUUCUGACGCUGAGGCGCGAAAGCUAGGGGAGCAAACGGG
rnacentral:rRNA from 1 species